AUGGCACCCUCCAGCCUGCUGUGGGCCCUGGUGGCCUUCACCUGCUCUGGCUCCAGUGUGGCCCAGAAAGUUAUUCAAGACGCGCCAGCGAUAACCACAAGAGAGGGGUCAGCAAUCCUCCUGAAGUGUCAGUAUGAAACAAGCCAGAGUGGAUACUACCUUUACUGGUACAAGCAGCUUCCUGAUGGGAACAUGACUUACAUUAUUGAACAGUAUUCUAAUUCUGACAUUAAUGCUGCACAGGGUCGCUAUUCUAUAAGCUUCCAGAAAGCAGACAAAACUAUUUCCCUCAACAUUGCGCCCUUACAACUGGAUGAUUCAGCAAUGUACUUCUGUGCUCUCCAGGAACCCACUGUGUUUGAAGUGAUGGUAAAAGCUGAACAAAAACCUUGA